ACCAAGCCCCCUCUUUUCUCAUUUUUUCUCUUGUCAGAUUUCCUCCCCCUCUAUUCUUCUUGCUUUUUCUUAGAUAAAAGCAAAAACAAAAAAACAGAAAGUGUUGGUGCUCUAGAGUUAGUGGACUAUCAAGUGAUUUUGUGAGAGAUUGAGAGGUCUUUUCGAGAAGUAUCCAAGAGGAGAAAGUUAGAUCUUGGUCUUGUGAAGUUAGUGGUCUUCUUAAAUUGAGUUUUGAGUCGUGGUGGAAUUGUAAUGACGUCGAAGACGUGACAUAGCGAUGAUUUCAGAUUGGUAAUCGAAAGCAGUGAGGCUUGAUGCCACUUGUGGAUCCUCAAUACUCAAUCAGCCUCAGUUACAUUAAUGAUCAUCUUAGGGGUUUAUUUAAUAAUUUUAUUUAUUCUCCCUUCUUUAUUGUAAUGUUGUUGUUGCAAUAUAAUUUAUGUAUUUGAAACAAUUGUAAUUUUUUUUAGCCAAUGUGAAUUGUUCGAUUGUAAGUAAGUCCGCUGUGUCGAAACCAUUUUAUAUAAUGAAACAAUGUUAUAAAUCA